rnacentral:rRNA from 1 species
CGCUGGCGGCGUGCUUAACACAUGCAAGUCGAACGAGAAUCUGCGGAAAGAGGAUUCGUCCAAUUGAAGCAGAGGACAGUGGCGGACGGGUGAGUAACGCGUGAGGAACCUGCCUUUCAGAGGGGGACAACAGUUGGAAACGACUGCUAAUACCGCAUAACAUAUAGAUGUCGCAUGGCAUUUAUAUCAAAGAUUUAUCGCUGAAAGAUGGCCUCGCGUCUGAUUAGCUAGUUGGUGAGGUAACGGCCCACCAAGGCGACGAUCAGUAGCCGGACUGAGAGGUUGAACGGCCACAUUGGGACUGAGAUACGGCCCAGACUCCUACGGGAGGCAGCAGUGGGGAAUAUUGGGCAAUGGGCGCAAGCCUGACCCAGCAACGCCGCGUGAAGGAAGAAGGCUUUCGGGUUGUAAACUUCUUUUAAGAGGGAAGAGCAGAAGACGGUACCUCUAGAAUAAGCCACGGCUAACUACGUG